AUGGUUGUUAGUGAACUGAUGGUUUUGUUAGUCACUAACUGGUUUUUGGAUUGUAUAUUAAUUAAUCUUUUUGUUUUGGUUCACUACUUGCGGUGGUCCGUUAUGCUUGAGGAAUAUUGUUUAUUUGUUUUGAAAAUGAAAGAGUGUAGGUUGCCUGUUCUGAUUUCAGUUCUCAGAUUAAAUGGUACAGGGUAUGUUGAACUGACGUAA